rfam:Methanobacterium sp. SWAN-1, complete genome.
GGGCCCGUAGCUCAGUCUGGGAGAGCGCCUGGCUUUUAACCAGGUGGCCGCGGGUUCAAUUCCCGUCGGGCCCG